rnacentral:rRNA from 1 species
GGUAAUUCUGGAGCUAAUACGUGGAAAAAUUGUUUGCUUCGGCAUUCAUUCAUAGCUCUAUUCCAAACCUUCCUAUCACACUGAUAAAAGAGCUAACCGUUCAUUGAUGAUCGUAUGCCCUAGUGGCGACGACAAACGUUAUAAGUCUUUGCCCUAUUAACCUUGUGCUAGCGUAGUGUACUACCAAGGUUGUAAUGGGUAACGGAGAAUUAGGGUUCGUCUCCGGAGAGGGCGCCUGAGAAAUGGCGACUAGUUCCACGGAAUGCAGCAGGCGCGAAACUUACCCAAUGUCAGAUCGACGAGGUAGUGAAGAAACAUAAUGAGACGGACCUCUCUGAGGGCUGUCAUCGUAAUGGAUUGAAUCCAAACUCUUUUUUGAGUAUCAACGAGUGGGCAAGUCUGGUGCCAGCAGCCGCGGUAAUUCCAGCACUCGUAAGGUAUAGAUAUAUUGUUGCGUUUAAAAAGCUCGUAGUUGAAUUGUCACAUGGGUUCGUGUUCGGACUUCGGUCUGUUUCAUGGCCUGUGUUCUGUGUUGGAAGGCUCGGUUUCGAUCGCAGUCUGUCUGAUACUGGAUUACUUUGAAUGUCUUAGGUGCUCAAUGCGAGGCUUAAGCUUGUAUUGCAUUACAUGGAAUAAUGGAACAAGGUUUCGACCGAGUUCGUUGGUUUGUCGGUUAAAGCAAUGAUUAACAGAGACAGUUCGUGGGUGAACGUAUCGAUGCUCGAGGAGUGAAAUCUGUGGACAGUGUCGAGACGACCGAAAGCGAAAGCAUUCACCAAGGAUGUUUUCAUUAAUCAAGAGCGAAAGUCAGAGGUUCGAAGGCGAUUAGAUACCGCCCUAGUUCUGACCGUAAACGAUGCCUACUAUCGAUCCGCGUGUGGAUUUUAUUCACUGCGUGGGGAGGCCCCCGGAAACGAAAGUUUUUCGGCUACGGGGGUAGUAUGGUUGCAAAGCUGAAACUUAAAGGAAUUGACGGAAGGGCACCACCAGGAGUGGAGCUUGCGGCUUAAUUUGACUCAACACGGGAAAGCUUACCUGAGUAGUAUAUUGUUUGGAUUGACGGACUGUUGGCUCUUUCAUGAUUCGGUUAAUGGUGGUGCAUGGCCGUUCUUAGUUCGUGGAUUGAUUUGUCUGCUUAAUUGCGAUAACGAACGAGACUCUGACAGUUAAAUGAUGGUGCUAGUUUAUUCUGAUCAGUAGUUAUAUCUUAGUUGGAUUGGUUGUAUCGAAUGACAUGAAAGUGAGCAAUAACAGGUCUGUAAUGCCCUGAGAUGGUCAGGGCCGCACGCGUGCUACAAUGUUAGUGCCAGCGUGAUUGUCCUUCUUCGUUAGAGGUUGGCAAACCGUGCAGUCAGUAUUAUGGUCGGAAUCGAGGAUUGUAAUUAUUUCUCGUGAACAAGGAAUUCCUUGUAAUUGGAUGUCAUUAUCGUCCAAUGAAUGCGUCCCUGCCCUUUGUACACCCCGCCCGUCGCUGCCCGGAACUGAGUUAUUUCGAGAAGACCAUGGACGAUGAAGCUUUUUCACUUCGGUGUUGGGUUUCGUUGAAAGUGGUUUAAUCGCGAUGAUUUGAACCGGGCAAAAGUCGUAACAAGGUAGC